AGAAUCAACGCUGGCGGCGUGCCUAACACAUGCAAGUCGAACGAGAAAGUGGUAGCAAUACCAUGAGUAAAGUGGCGCACGGGUGAGUAACACGUGACUAACCUACCCUUGAGUGGGGGAUAACUGAGGGAAACCUUAGCUAAUACCGCAUAAUACCCAGGGGUCAAAGGAGCAAUUCGCUCGAGGAGGGGGUCGCGGCCGAUUAGUUAGUUGGCAGGGUAAUGGCCUACCAAGACGAUGAUCGGUA
rnacentral:rRNA from 1 species